GCCACCGUCACUCCCGGGGUGUGUGGCAUCCGCAGGACUCUGGCAGCUGCUGGAUGGGGCUGGGAAAAGCAUUUCGGGGGUGCGACUGCUGGAAAGCAAACAAAAGCUGGAGCUCCUUUGCUGCACCCACCCCAAAUCCUGCCUUUGUCUGAGCCCCACAACUGUGCCUGGCUGGGGUGUUUCUCCCUGCAUCGAACUGGGUGCGCAGGAGGAUGGGAACUCCAUCCCUCACCUCUUAAGAUGGGUGACAGGCAACCGGAACCCCAGAUCUCUCAAUCUGAGACACAGCAAAGCAGAAGGCAGCUUUUCCCCAGUGUUUUUCAGGGUUAAGAGUCUCUGAGCAUCCCUUUCCAGGAGAGGUGAGCCGCCAGCAGCAUGUCUUGAUCAGGGAUCCAGCCACCCCGCGGUGCUGCAGAACCCCAUGGGAUGUUGUGCUGUCACCCCGGCUGCACUGGGGAUGGGGGGCUCUGCCCGAGCCAGAUGUGCAGGCAGCUGUGGCGGGGAGCAGGCAGGCGGAUGACAGCAACGCUGGGAGACGGGAGGAGAGUCCAAGGGAAUGACCUUGAGGAGGAACCUGAAAGACUCGGCCAAGUACAAAAAUGAACCACUUGGGGAGGAAGAAAAGGCGAAGCUCUGACUGAAGGCACCAGCCCUGGUCACGGGUGUUAUGUGCUCUCGGCAGGGGGGACCAGGCAGGGCAGCCGGCAGCAGGAGCUGAUCGGUGCCAGGGGCUCGCAUGGAGCAUCUUCUCCCACAGAUGCUGUCCCCACCUGGCUGUCACCGCAUGCCCUGCUCCGGAUUCACCCUGUGAACCUUUCCUGCCUGGCAAGAA
rnacentral:lncRNA from 1 species